UGCCAGCCGCCGCGGUAAUACGGAGGGUGCAAGCGUUAAUCGGAAUUACUGGGCGUAAAGCGCGCGUAGGCGGCUUGUUAAGUCAGAUGUGAAAUCCCCGGGCUCAACCUGGGAACUGCAUCUGAUACUGGCAGGCUAGAGUUUGAGAGAGGGAAGUGGAAUUCCAGGUGUAGCGGUGAAAUGCGUAGAUAUCGGAAGGAACAUCAGUGGCGAAGGCGACUGCCAGGCUCGAUACUGACGCUGAGGUGCGAAAGCGUGGGGAGCAAACAGGAUUAGAUA
rnacentral:rRNA from 1 species